rnacentral:tRNA from 1 species
AUUUCGCUAGCUCAGUUGGAAGAGCGUCCGCUUCACAUGGUGAUAACGCGGAAGGUCGAGGGUUCGAGCCCCCCGUGGAAUA